rnacentral:lncRNA from 1 species
GCUGAAUUAUUUACAAGGAAGGAUGGCUCAGAUGUUGAGGAGAUAAAAGGCAUAUGAGGAUCAGGUGAAAAACUGUUUAUCUUAGAGAAAAUCAAAUGUGGGGAGGACCUGAGAGUUGACUUCAUAUAUUUGAAGGGCUGAGAUGCAGAAAUGGGAUUAGGUUUAUUCUACUUGGCCCCAGAACUGAACAAGAAGCAAUGAAUGGAAGCAGAAGAGAAGAAGAUUUAACUUUAGCGUGAGGAAAUCUUGCUAAAAAUAGAAUGCAUCUAAAAGAAGAAUGAACUUCAGGAGAGAAAGACUUCCCCAUUCCUGGAGGUAUUCAAGAAGAGAACAAAAGACCAGUCCUUGGAGAUGUUGUAGAAGGGAUUCUUAUUCAGGAACUGAGACCCAAGGAGCUUCAGCAAUUUGCCCAAGAUCUUACAACUAAUGAAGAAACAGCUAGAACUAGAACCUAUGACUUCUGAGCCUUGAGCCAACAUCCUGUCUGGUGCAUGAUGCUAUUUACCACAUUACAGUAAAGCAGCCAAUAUUUCAGUGCAAUAACUAAUUUCCUUCAAACUGUACUUUGGGAUCAUUUCUGGAGGUUAUUAAGGUCUGAGCUACAGAUCAUGAUAAUGGUGUGUGCAUAUGUGUAUGUGUGUAUUGGUGCACAUGUGUUUGGAAAGAGUGAGAGGUGGAAAUCUCCAGCUGAAUUUGUGAUGAUUCAUAUAGAUUCCCAGGUCAUGAGGAGAACUCUGACUUAACAUAAAGAGUAAAUUCCUAAUCAUAUUCAUGAAUGAAAACAGGUUCUAUAAUUUUAAAUAAUCUGCUUUAUAGUCAACAUGGGUAAAGCAGGACCUCCUACCCUUCUUUGCAGAGAUGGAAGACUCGAUUAUAAUUAGAUGGAAGGGGCAGGUAUAAUCAGGAAUGAAGGUAAUAACAAAGCUAUUAAACAUCCCAAGUAUUCCUUAAGUAGAGCAGAGCAGUUUUCAUAAUCAUCUUCAGAGAAAUUAGAAAGAUCAUUUUGGAUCUCCAGGAGAUCACAACUAACUACUAUCUUCUUGCAUUAUGCCAUCACCCUUGUUCACAUACUUCUACAAAAUUUCCACAGAGGAAACCCCUAAGAUACCUAGACCCUUCCUAUAGAUUUCUUAUCAUAGUAUGGAUACCAAUCACCUUUGGUUAUCCCUAUAACACCCACCACUUCCCUUUACUGUCAUAAAUCCCUUUCUUUCUGAUGGAGGCAAUUGAGGAGAGUGACAUGUCAGACCUACUCUUUAAUUCUUUGUCUUGUUUCCAAUGAAACAAACCCCCAAAACCUUACUUUAAAAGUUUCUUUGAGUAUAUUUUGGCAGGAAGGCUGAGGAGGGAGGAAGCUCA